rnacentral:rRNA from 1 species
CCUACGGGGUGCAGCAGUGGGGGAUAUUGCACAAUGGGGGAAACCCUGAUGCAGCGACGCCGCGUGUGGGAAGACGGUCCUCUGGAUUGUAAACCACUGUCCCCAGGGACGAAGAUGACGGUACCUGGGGAGGAAGCUCCGGCUAACUACGUGCCAGCAGCCGCGGUAAUACGUAGGGAGCGAGCGUUGUCCGGAAUUACUGGGUGAAAAGGGAGCGUAGGCGGGACUGCAAGUUGGGUGUCAAAUCUACCGGCUCAACCGGUAGCCGCACUCAAAACUGCAGUUCUUGAGUGAAGUAGAGGCAGGCGGAAUUCCUAGUGUAGCGGUGAAAUGCGUAGAUAUUAGGAGGAACACCAGUGGCGAAGGCGGCCUGCUGGGCUUUUACUGACGCUGAGGCUCGAAAGUGUGGGGAGCAAACAGGAUUAGAUACCCCGGUAGUC